rnacentral:rRNA from 1 species
AGAACGAACGCUGGCGGCAUGCCUAACACAUGCAAGUCGAACGAGACCUUCGGGUCUAGUGGCGCACGGGUGCGUAACGCGUGGGAAUCUGCCCCUUGGUUCGGAAUAACAGUUAGAAAUGACUGCUAAUACCGGAUGACGACGUAAGUCCAAAGAUUUAUCGCCGAGGGAUGAGCCCGCGUAGGAUUAGCUAGUUGGUGAGGUAAUGGCUCACCAAGGCGACGAUCCUUAGCUGGUCUGAGAGGAUGAUCAGCCACGCUGGGACUGAGACACGGCCCAGACUCCUACGGGAGGCAGCAGUGGGGAAUAUUGGACAAUGGGCGAAAGCCUGAUCCAGCAAUGCCGCGUGAGUGAUGAAGGCCUUAGGGUUGUAAAGCUCUUUUACCAGGGAUGAUAAUGACAGUACCUGGAGAAUAAGCUCCGGCUAACUCCGCGCCAGCAGCCGC